CUUAAUCAUCGGUGUGACCGCUCUAGGUCAUGGUUGUUAUCGUUUGGGACUGCACCGGUUAUGGAUCACAUGAAUUAGUAGCAACAUUGUCGCGAAGCUUUGACAUACAAACCAACAAAACAUCAGAUGGUCAGACAGUACAACUGCAAGCCUGAAGUCAACAGCUAAUAUCUCUCUUUCUCUCUCUUUCUUUUCCCUCUAUCGUUCCCUCUUCUCUGACAGGUGGCAGAGAAGAUUGUGGACAUUUUAAGACCUUUGUUUUGUCUAUGAACACGCCCCACAUUCAGAGCCUCUGCACUCCUCCACUGGAAGGAGUCUACAAACGAAUCAUGUUCAACCUGAAGAUCGAUGUGUCUCACCGAGUGGAGUCUGACAUUCGCAACGACGCCAUGCAGUGGACCCUGGACUGAAGAGGCAGAAACAUAGAAGAAAUGUGCUGGACUGUCUGUAAAAUUACACAUUUCUUGAGGUUGGAACCAACAUGCAGUACCUCCAGCAGGCAGAGAGGCAAGAACCAUUCAUCCACCAGCUCAAGGACAAGCUACACUAUUCUCAGUCCUGUUAGGCUGGACAAUAGAACGAGUCAAAAUUCACCCAAGCCUGAAAAGCGUCUUAAGAAUGUUGGCUAAGCUGGAACACUAGCGUGAUUACUUGGCAAAUGAAUGGAAUCGAACGUUCUCAGAGCCUGUUUUGACCGAAGUGAUGCUUAGAAUUCCAUUUCGCCUAAAUGGCACAAAAAAAAUCCCUUUUUAUUUUACCACUACAAUCUGUUCGUUGGACGAAACUGGGAAAAAACAACUUGUGUAGAACGUAAACAUCCGCACCUCGAUUGUGUCAACUGUGCUUAUGGCUGCAUAAUGAGGAAGUACGGAAAAAAUUAAAACUUCUGACUAUUUUUGGUCUAGCGAUCGAUGACAAAUGAGCUCGCUGCCUAGACUUUUCCUAUGGAGAGGCAUGGGUGGAGCUCAGCGUUCCAAGUGCAAAAAGUAUUUUCCGGCUAGCGCUUGAUGACAAUGAAGCUUGCGGCCGAAGACUUAGAUAAUUAGAAAGAGGAGAUUAUCCCGAUUUAAAAUGGCGUCCGACUUGAAUAAAUUGAAAUAUACACAUUGCGAGAUAUUUGGCGAAAUAGACAGAUACGCCUAUAUUUCUCCUUUAGGAAACAAUGGGACGACCUCAGAGUUCCAAGAUACAUUAUUUUAUGUUGUUGUUUACAUUUUAACUAUAAACAACGUGAGCAGGGUUUUAGAACAUCCUUGGUUAUCUGCAAGAAUCCUGGCUAGGCGGACGUAAAGGUAACGUAAAGGUAAUGGCGGACUGAACGAAGUUAUGUAGAGCACCUCAAGAUAAAACAUAAUAUUCGAAAUAUCUGCUAAAUAGACUAAAAUAUUAGCACUACAUAAUCUGGUGAGUGAUAAACGUUCAAUCUGGAUAAUAACACAAAACAAAUCCUAAGACUAGAGACAUUUAUCGACAAAUAUUACGAAAACAGGCAACAACCAAACAUGACGGAGAGUAAGACAGGGGAACCGUUUACAAAACGCAAGCGAGAUUCUUCGACAGAUACUGACGAUUUAAUAUUCUCACCACCGGGAAUGGUAAAGGUCGAAACCGAUCUGUUAAAAUCAAUAAAUGACAAACUGGGUUUACUUGAAUUACUUAGUAAGGAUAUAAAAGAGUUAAAGGCAAGCCUAGAGAUGAGUGAUGAAAAAGCUGCGACAUUGGAGAAGGAAACACACGCGCUAAAAGGGACAGUCAAUAAGAUUCAAACCGAAAUGAAUGGAAUUAAAAAAGAGAACAUCGUUCUGAAGGAAGCCUUACUGGAGAUUCAAACUAGAUCCAUGAGAGAGAAUUUGGUACUUACAGGUAUCCAAGAAAAAGAAGGAGAAGUUCCUGAAUCUAUAGUUAGAGAGUUCCUCCGUACAGCGCUUCAGAUUCCAUGCGAAGUUGUCGACAAAAUCCAACUUGAACGUGUUCACCGCUUCGGACAGAGAGGGCAGAGGUACGAACGCCCAAUCGUUGCAAAAUUUGUUUCAUUUAAAGAUAAAAUAAUGGUUAAAAGCCUAGGUAAAAGACUUGCUGGGACCAAAAUUGGCAUGAAUGAUCAGUUUCCGAAAGAAAUUGCAGAACGGCGCAAAGUUCUGUAUCCAAUUUUCAAAGAAAACAGAUUAAAAGCGAAACGAGUAGCUCUCGUCGUUGAUAAACUAUAUAUUGAUAACCAGUUGUUCAGAGACACAAAGACUACUCCAUGGUUAUUUUAAAAUUUACAAAGUUCUCAUAGACGAGGAAAAUAAACACAAUUCAAGCCCGGUUACUGAUUGUAACAAUACAACAAAAAAUAUAGCUUUUUUAUAAAUCUUCACAUAUAACUAAUUGAACACACAAGCACUAUUUUUACACAGUGAAGAUAAAAACUAAGUAAACAGAAGGCACAGUAUGUGUGGAUGGUAUGGUUUGUGUUUAUUUUAUUUUUUAUCUUAUUUGUUAUGUUUGGAAAGUUGAGUGAGUGAGUAAUGAAAUGGUUGCAUAUCCCAGAGCCAAUGUAUUGCUGUGAGCCGGGUAUGAGAGGGCUUUCAAUGUUGUUCAGAUGAUGGAUAUACUUUUAUAAUGAA